UUUAGGCGCCUAGGUAAAGAGACCCAGUUCAACCAUUCUUAUAAGGCCAAGUGUAUGUCACAUUCAUCUAAGCGAUCACUACAAAUAAUGCGUGACAUCUUAACACUUGAACUUAAGUCAAGUCAUUAACACUUGAAGUGGUUCCUGGCGGGUGAGUUAUUGAGUGCUGAGGCUUUUUCCACAGAUCGAGUGUAGUAGAGAUGGCAACUGUCACUGCCUCACAGUUUGUACCCGGAAGUACUCAACUUUAUGGAACAUCUGGGGCUGCAGUUGAAGCCAAUUUGGUACGGAUGGGCUUGAGGAAUCAAUCUAUGACUCACAAUGGCUUAAGAUCAUUGAACGUGGUGGAUAGACUACAAAUGAAAAUCACUUCCAAAGCAAUGCGUAAUAAAGCUGUGAAGAAAGUGCGAUCAACAGCAAGUGACAUUCCCUCAGGAAAAAUUGUAUGUGGACAAGGGAUGAGAAUAGUAGUUGUGUCGGCUGAGGUUGGUCCAUGGAGUAAAACCGGUGGCCUUGGUGAUGUCACAGGAGGACUUCCACCUGCGCAGGCGGCUAAUGGGCAUCGUGUUAUGACUGUGUCUCCCCGAUACGACCAGUACAAAGAUGCAUGGGAUACGAAUGUUUUAGUUCAGGUUAAAGUUGGGGAUAGAAUUGAAACUGUUCGAUUCUUCCACUGCCACAAACGAGGAGUUGAUCGUGUCUUUGUUGAUCAUCCAAUGUUCCUUGAGAAGGUUUGGGGAAAAACUGGAGCCAAAAUAUAUGGCCCAAGGGCAGGACAGGAUUACAAGGACAACCAACUUCGAUUUAGCUUAUUAUGCCAGGCUGCUCUAGAGGCUCCCAGGGUUCUGAACUUAAACAACAGUGAACAUUUCUCAGGACCAUAUGGGGAGGAUGUUGUCUUCGUUUGCAAUGAUUGGCACACUGCUCUGCUUCCAUGCUACCUGAAAUCCAUGUACCAAUCAAGAGGCAUUUACAAAAAUGCUAAGGUUGCUUUUUGCAUCCACAACAUAGCCUAUCAAGGCAGGUUCGCUAUAGCAGAUUUCUCUCUGCUCAAUUUACCUGAUCAAUUCAGGGGAUCUUUUGACUUUAUUGAUGGUUAUAACACGCCUGUGAAGGGAAGAAAGAUCAAUUGGAUGAAGGCUGGAAUAUUAGAAUCAGACAGGGUCGUGACUGUGAGCCCCCACUAUGCUAAGGAACUUGUUUCUGGGGAGGAUAAAGGUGUUGAAUUGGAUAAUAUUAUUCGUAAAACGGGCAUCACCGGCAUUGUGAAUGGCAUGGAUAUUCAAGAGUGGAACCCUGCAACAGACAAAUACAUCGAUGUCAAAUAUGAUGCCACCACUGUUAUGGAAGCAAAGCCUUUAUUGAAAGAAGCCCUUCAAGCAGAAGUUGGGCUGCCUGUUGACAAGAAUAUCCCGGUGAUAGGUUUCAUUGGAAGACUAGAAGAGCAAAAGGGUUCAGAUAUUCUGGUUGCAGCUAUUUCAAAAUUCAUUGGAGAGAAUGUUCAGAUAGUGGUCCUUGGAACUGGGAAGAAGCACAUGGAGAAACAGAUUGAACAGCUUGAAAUAAAGUAUCCUGAUAAGGCUGUAGGAGUGGCAAAGUUCAAUGCUCCCUUGGCCCAUAAGAUUAUUGCUGGGGCUGAUUAUAUGUUGAUCACUAGCAGAUUUGAGCCAUGUGGUCUCAUUCAGUUGCAAGCCCAGCGAUAUGGAACAGUAAGCCUCCUUAGAUUCCUCUUUGCAACCAAAAUUUUAUUCACUUUUCGAGGCAGUAGGUCAAUUAAUCAGUAAUUCUUCCACAGGUCCCCAUUGUUUCCUCCACUGGUGGACUUGUUGACACUGUCAAAGAAGGUUUCACUGGAUUCCAUAUGGGAAGCUUCAAUGUUGACUGUGAGAAAUUGGAUCCAGCUGAUGUUGAUGCAGUAGCAACAACAGUGAAGAGAGUUCUUACAGCAUAUGGUACCCCUGCCUUCAAGGAAAUGAUCAAGAAUUGCAUGGCCAAAGAUCUUUCAUGGAAGGGACCAGCCAAACUGUGGGAAAAGAUGUUACUGAGUUUGGAGGUUGCUGGCAGUGAAGCAGGUUCUGAAGAGGAGGAGAUUGGUCCUCUUGGCAAGGAAAAUUUAGCCACUCCCUAAGCACCCCGUUUAAAAUUAUGUGCAAGUAAGCUAAUGCGUGAUGCGGCUAGGUAGAAUUAACUCAUUAAGCUUAAGUAUCUCUUGUUUUUUGGGACUUCAUCGGGCUAUGCUAAAUAAGUAAUAACUGUCACGCCCUCUUUCAAGUUGAUGACAUACGUGGUGGAAACUUAAGAGCUGGUGUGCAAUGCAAGGGAAGUAUAUUUUUGGAGGUGAAUGGUGUUUGAACUUUGAAGCGCUAAGUUUUCUAAUUUAUUUGCUUCCCCUUUCUUUUUCCCUGA